GAAAAAUGGUUGCACUGCUCGCUCGCGAGAAGAUGAUGAGAACGGCCAUAAAUAGAUAAGAGAUCGAGAGCGAGAUGCGGCUUCCUUCCCCCCGUUGCAGAAGAGAGAGAAAGAAGAGAGAGAGAGAGAAGAGAGCAAGCAAGAAAGAGAUUGACAUGAUCGAAAUCUAGAGAGAGAGAGAGAGAGAGAGAGGGAAGCAUUCGACGAAGAAGGAAGAAGAAGGAAGAAGAAGGAAGAAGGAAGAAGGAAGAAUUUGGAGUUUUUGAAUGAAUUCGAGUGUGUGAUGCAUCAGAAGAAAUCAGAAGUCCAGAUCGGAAAAGAAAGCACCGGCGUCUCUUCCGAUUUCAACCCCAUCCCCUCCUCCUCCCUCCCCCACCACCACCCCCACCACCACCACCACCACCAGCAGUUCCCCUUCAUCGCCGUCGCCGCCGCCGCCGCCGCCUUUGACCGCCUCCACCACCUCGGCCCCCCAAUGACCCGAUCCCCCUCCACCCCCUACAAGCGCCCGCUCCUGACCCACUCCCCUUCUCCCUCCUCCCUCCCCAAGUCCCCCACCCUGUACCGCCUCUCCGCGGCCCAGCAUUUCGCGCCGCGGAGAACCCUGGUCCCCCUCGCGGUCGCCGCCAAGUCCCUCGCCUCCCGCCUGCUCCGCCGGUUCAAGCUCCUCCGGCGGCUCCGCGUGCACCUCCGCCUGAUCCUCCUCCUGUCCCUGCCCUUCUUUUACUUCCUCGUGUCCCACCCGAGCAACUCGUUCCUGCUCGAUUUCGUCUCGGCCUUCGCGUUCUCCGCCGCGCUCCUGUUCUCGCUCAACUUGGCGCUCCCGCGGCUCCCCUCGAUACGGCUGUUCCUGUCCCGCUCGUUCCCCAUCAGGCUGAAGGCGUCCCAUUCCAGUCCUUUGCCAGUGUUCUGGUCGAUCGGGUCUCGGACGAAAGCGGAGAAAAGAGUGAAUUCGGGAUGCUGGGUCCAGGUUUAUAGCAAUGGGACGUGUACGAGGGUGAAUUCCAUAAGGGCAAAUGUUCGGGGAGCGGUGUGUAUUAUUACUACAUGAGCGGGAGGUAUGAGGGGGAUUGGGUUGAUGGGAAAUAUGAUGGCCAUGGCGUCGAGACUUGGGCAAGAGGUAGCCGAUAUAGAGGCCAAUAUAGACAGGGACUUAGGCAUGGUUUUGGGGUUUAUAGAUUUUAUACUGGCGAUGUAUAUGCUGGGGAGUGGUCCAGUGGGCAAAGCCAUGGGUGCGGAGUACAUACAUGCGAGGAUGGAAGCCGCUAUGUUGGAGAAUUCAAGUGGGGUGUUAAGCAUGGGCUCGGUCACUACCAUUUCAGAAAUGGUGAUACAUAUGCUGGAGAAUACUUUGCAGACAAGAUGCAUGGUUUCGGCAUCUAUUCUUUUGCCAAUGGUCAUCAUUAUGAGGGUGCUUGGCAUGAGGGUAGACGGCAAGGGCUUGGCAUGUACACUUUUAGAAAUGGGGAAACUCAAUCUGGACAUUGGCAGAAUGGAAUUCUUGAUAUACCGAGUACACAAAGCACCAUGUACCCUGAUUCUCCAGUCGCAGUCAAUCACUCUAAAGUGCUCAACGCCGUGCAGGAAGCAAGAAGAGCAGCGGAUAGAGCUUAUGACGUGGCCAAGGUUGACGAAAGGGUUAAUAGGGCUGUCGCAGCGGCUAAUAGGGCAGCAAAUGCAGCUCGAGUUGCAGCGGUGAAGGCUGUCCAGAAACAGAUCUACCCCCGUAGUAGCAACGACAACAUUCCACUGCCAAUUGUGUGAAACUUUAGCAUGCAGCUUUUUUAGUUGCAGAGGUUUUUUUUUUUUAUUUCUCCAGGGCAUGCAACGUGGUAAUACCCCUGUUUCUCCUGAGUUGUCUCCUAGAGAGACCUAGAGAAAAAAGCUGGGUGGGGGGGUUUUUGACAUAUUAUUGGAGAAACAAAAUGGUUGUCCUUUUAUUUUCAAAUCCUGUAUAGUUGGAGGGAGAGAGAGAGAGAGAGAGAGAUUGUGAAGCUGAAAGAGCUGGUAUUUACGGCGUUAUCUUGGUCCAGCUGCUGGUUGUACAUGCAAGCAACAGUGAGAAGUUUCACAUCUACUUGUUUUAUUUUCCCAUCUUUUGCCUAA